rnacentral:rRNA from 1 species
CCUACGGGCGGCAGCAGUGGGGAAUAUUGGACAAUGGGGGGAACCCUGAUCCAGCCAUGUCGCGUGUGUGAAGAAGGCCCUCGGGUUGUAAAGCACUUUCAGUGAGGAAGAACGCCUGGUGGUUAAUACCCAUCAGGAAAGACAUCACUCACAGAAGAAGCACCGGCUAACUCCGUGCCAGCAGCCGCGGUAAUACGGAGGGUGCGAGCGUUAAUCGGAAUUACUGGGCGUAAAGCGCGCGUAGGUGGCUUGAUAAGCCGGUUGUGAAAGCCCCGGGCUCAACCUGGGAACGGCAUCCGGAACUGUCAAGCUAGAGUGCAGGAGAGGAAGGUAGAAUUCCCGGUGUAGCGGUGAAAUGCGUAGAGAUCGGGAGGAAUACCAGUGGCGAAGGCGGCCUUCUGGACUGACACUGACACUGAGGUGCGAAAGCGUGGGUAGCAAACAGGAUUAGAUACCCUUGUAGUC